GACACAAAUCUGCCUCCUAAAUCAUCCCUCUGGCCUCAGUCCCUAAAUGAUUGAGAAAGUGAUUCCAGAGUCAUCAUCAGUAAUGUGGCAAUUCAACAGUGAUGAAGAAAAGAGUCUUUAGAAUCAUUUGAACCAAAGUUGGAAUCCAGGUCCUCCAGUUUACUAGCUAUGCCACCUUGGGCAAAUUACUGAACAUUUCUGUGCCUUGGAGCCCCACAUGUGAUACCAGCCCACAUGACUUGUACAGAUUAAGAGAAAACAUGUAGGCAAAGGGCUUAGGGGAGAAAUGGACACAUGGAAAGCACCCAAUAAUUCUAUCCUCAUCACUAUUAUUGUUCAUUAAGGCUCUCAAAAAGAGAGCACCUUUAUCAGUUAGGAUUAUGUUCAGCUGCAUAGAACAAAAACUAAACACUAAAAUAUCAAUGGUCGGAGCAAGUCAGUUUAUUUCUCUGGUACAUAAAAGAAGUCUAAAGGCAGGCAGGCCAAGGCUGAUAUUGGGGAUCUCCAGGAGGUCAUCAGGGUCCUUCUAACUCUAUGCUCCACCACUCCUAGCAUGUAGUCCUAGUCCUCAUGACCCAAUAUGAAUGCUGGCAUUCCAGCCAUCACAACCAGUUCCAGGCAGCAGACUGGGAGGAAUCAAAAAAGAAAGGAACACCCGCUCUCUUUUAAGAAGACUUUCUGGAAGUCCUACGCAAUACUUUGACUUAGCUGCGUGGCUACACCUAGCUCCUAGUUGCAAGGAAACAGUUACAAGGGUGGCACUAUCCCAACUAAAAACCAAGGAUUUUGUCAAUGAAACGUUGAAGAGAAUGGAUAUGGUAAGCAAACAGAAGUCUCUGCCCCAGCACAAAAAUCAGUAAACAAAGACAAGCUACACUCUCCCUAACCAAAAAGUUCUGGUAAACUUUAAAGAAAAAUAUUCCACUGAGAAGCAAAGAAACAUCUAGUACAUAUCACCACAGUUUCCACUCUUGCUCCUCUACAAUCCAUUCUCCACAUUUCUAUACCCAUUUCA
rnacentral:lncRNA from 10 species